GGAACUGUAGUUUAUUUAAAAUUUUGAUUUGUGGAAUCAAAGAAGUUGAAUCCCGUUCUA
rnacentral:tRNA from 1 species